CUCAUGUUCAUUAGAUUAUUGUGAUGGCUAUAUUCUAAUUUGGGACAAAUGGAACAGACUUCAUGCCGGUCUUGUGGACGAUAAGUCACUUGGCUGGAGCAGUGCUGCUUCCUGAGAAUGCCACAGAGAAGAUUCUAGAUCUAGCCUGCAUACCGUUUCUCUUCUUCAACAGGCACAAGACUCGUAAAUGUGAGGGAAAAAAAAUCAGGGGUUACAAACUGUGCCAACGCAUUGCUGUAUCUCAAGAAUUUCCCAUUCAGCUGUGUGAUGGCUGAUUAAAGCAAGAGUCACAGGGAGCCACAAUUAAAUGUGGGAUCCAAGAGCUUUUAUGGCAAUUUCUUCUCUAUCAGGUGGCAACGUGAAAAGCUUUGACAUUAUUAAACCUCCUAAAGCUUAUUCCCAAGUUUAGGACUUAUCUGGGUGUUGUAUAUAAACCUCAUGGCAACCACAAAUCUAAAAUCUUAAGAGAUACACAAAAAAGGGAAGAAAGCCAAACACUACAGAAACUCAUCAAUCACAAAGAGGAGAAGAGAAAAAUAAAGGAAAAGGGAGCUACCCGCACAACAACCAGAAGGGACGAGGCAUCUCCCCAGGUGCACACACCUGAGACCAGCGGCAGCCCCUCCCCCAGAGACCCGCUGGGAGGUCGGGGAGGAGCAAGUUCCCAACGCAGCAGCGCUGAGAAGCUCCAGGGAAAGUAGAGGGAUUUACACUAUAUAGAACCGAAAAAGAUGGAAGAAGGAGAGGAGCAAGAACAGGACAAGAUGAUGCCUGUGGGGAGCCCGAGGGGUAGCACAAUAGAGAGAGAGCACUCGUGUGAGUAGGCCGAGGGGCAGAAGGAGGAGAUGAUCUCAA